GCAGAGCAAACACACUCACACAGAAGGACGUGUGCCACAUGCCUCCUCAGAGCCUGCUCUGUGUGCUGGUGGCCUUAGCUUUCUCUGGAUAUAAUGUGGCCGAGAAAGUGACUCAGGUUCAGUCAAUGGCAAGCAGUCAGUGGGGAGAAAAAGUCACUGUGGACUGUUCAUAUGAGACAAGUCAACUCUUUUAUCAUCUAUUUUGGUACAAGCAGCUUCUUAGUGGAGAACUGGUUUUCCUUAUUCGCCAAAUAUCUUCUUCUACUGCAAAAGAGAGUAGCGGCCGCUAUUCUGUAGUCUUCCAGCGAUCAUUCAAGUCCAUCAGCCUUGUCAUUUCAGCCUUACAACCAGACGAUUCCGGGAAGUACUUCUGUGCUCUCUGGGAAUUGACACAGUGUUUGAAGUGGCAGCACAAGCUGAACAAAAACUGGGGCUCCUUCAGCAGAGCCCCCCUGAGGGAGGGAGCCCAGCUGAGAAGCACACCUGCACAUCCUGAACAAGAAGGUCCUAACUGUGGAUGCUGCAUCUGUGGUCUGCAUCAGAACUGUGUUUCUAAGUAA